rnacentral:snoRNA from 1 species
UCAUUAACUUUGAUGAUCGUAUUCGACUUCAUUCAUUGACUCGGGAUGUCGGUGGUUGCAGUGCUAAGUUCUCUUUUGAACUUGGUCUCCCCCAUUGAUGAACGUCCGCUGUCGCUAUUCCAAGGCAGCGUGAGUGAGUGGAGUGAUAUGAGAAGU